CGACGGAAGGCUCCUGCUUGCAGGGGUACUCGAGUGGCGAACGGGUGAGUAACACGUGGGUGAUCUGCCCUGCACUUCGGGAUAAGCCUGGGAAACUGGGUCUAAUACCGGAUAGGACGAUGGUUUGGAUGCCAUUGUGGAAAGUUUUUUCGGUGUGGGAUGAGCUCGCGGCCUAUCAGCUUGUUGGUGGGGGUUAAAAUGGCCCUCCACCCAAGGCGCUCGACCGGGUUAGCCCCGGCCUGUAGAAAGGGUGUACCGGGCCCAACAUUGGGAACCUGGAGAUAACGGCCCCCCAGACUUCCUUACGGGGGAGGCCAGCCAGUGGGGGAAAUAUUGCACCAAUUGGGGCGCCAAGCCCUGAAUGCAAGCGAACGCCCCGCGUGGGGGGAUUGACCGGCCUUUCGGGGUUAGUAAAACUCCUUUUCCGCUAGGGGACGAAAGCGCCAAGUGGACCGGUACCCUGGAGAAGGAAGCACCCGGCUAACUUACGUGCCAAGCAGCCGGCGGUAAUUACGUAGGGGUGCGAAGCGUUGUCCGGAAUUUACUGGGCGUAAAGAGCUUCGUAGGUGGUUUGUCGCGUCGUUUGUGUAAGCCCGCAGCUUAACUGCGGGACUGCAGGCGAUACGGGCAUAACUUGAGUGCUGUAGGGGAGACUGGAAUUCCUGGUGUAGCGGUGGAAUGCGCAGAUAUCAGGAGGAACACCGAUGGCGAAGGCAGGUCUCUGGGCAGUAACUGACGCUGAGGAGCGAAAGCAUGGGUAGCGAACAGGAUUAGAUACCCUGGUAGUCCAUGCCGUAAACGGUGGGCGCUAGGUGUGAGUCCCUUCCACGGGGGUUCGUGCCGCUAGCUAACGCAUUAAGCGCCCCGCCCUGGUGGAGUACGGCCGCCAAGGCUAAAAACUCAAAGGGAAUUGACGGGGGGCCCGCACAAGCGGCGGGAGCAUGUUGGAUUAAUUUCGAUGGCAACGCCGAAGAAACCUUUACCUGGGGCUUGGACAUACAACCAGAACCGGGCCCAGAGAUGGUCCCUUUCCCCUUUGUGGGUUGGGUGUACCAGGUGGGUGGCAAUGGUUUGUUCGUCCAGCUCGUGUCGUGAGAUGUUGGGUUAAGUCCCGCAACGAGCGCAACCCUUGUCUUAUGUUGCCAGCACGUUAUGGUGGGGACUCGUGAGAGACUGCCGGGGUUAACUCGGAGGAAGGUGGGGAUGACGUCAAAUCAUCAUGCCCCUUAUGUCCAGGGCUUCACACAUGCUACAAUGGUCGGUACAACGCGUCUGCGAGCCUGUGAGGGUGAGCUAAUCGCUGUAAAGCCGGUCGUAGUUCGGAUUGGGGUCUGCAACUCGACCCCAUGAAGUCGGAGUCGCUAGUAAUCGCAGAUCAGCAACGCUGCGGUGAAUACGUUCCCGGGCCUUGUACACACCGCCCGUCACGUCAUGAAAGUUGGUAACACCCGAAGCCAGUGGCCUGUCAUGGAGCGUC
rnacentral:rRNA from 1 species